rnacentral:rRNA from 1 species
AUUGAACGCUGGCGGCAUGCCUUACACAUGCAAGUCGAACGGCAGCACGGGUGCUUGCACCUGGUGGCGAGUGGCGAACGGGUGAGUAAUACAUCGGAACAUGUCCUGUAGUGGGGGAUAGCCCGGCGAAAGCCGGAUUAAUACCGCAUACGAUCUACGGAUGAAAGCGGGGGACCUUCGGGCCUCGCGCUAUAGGGUUGGCCGAUAGCUGAUUAGCUAGUUGGUGGGGUAAAGGCCUACCAAGGCGACGAUCAGUAGCUGGUCUGAGAGGACGACCAGCCACACUGGGACUGAGACACGGCCCAGACUCCUACGGGAGGCAGCAGUGGGGAAUUUUGGACAAUGGGCGAAAGCCUGAUCCAGCAAUGCCGCGUGUGUGAAGAAGGCCUUCGGGUUGUAAAGCACUUUUGUCCGGAAAGAAAUCCUUGGCUCUAAUACAGUCGGGGGAUGGCGGUACCGGAAGAAUAAGCACCGGCUAACUACGUG